GAUGAACGCUGGCGGCGUGCCUAAUACAUGCAAGUCGAGCGAACAGACGAGGAGCUUGCUCCUCUGACGUUAGCGGCGGACGGGUGAGUAACACGUGGAUAACCUACCUAUAAGACUGGGAUAACUUCGGGAAACCGGAGCUAAUACCGUAUAAUAUAUUGAACCGCAUGGUUCAAUAGUGAAAGACGGUUUUGCUGUCACUUAUAGAUGGAUCCGCGCCGCAUUAGCUAGUUGGUAAGGUAACGGCUUACCAAGGCAACGAGGCGUAGCCGACCUGAGAGGGUGGUAGGCGACACGGGAACUGAGACGCGGUCAAGACUACUACGGGAGGCAGCAGUAGGGAAUCUUCCGCAAUGGGCGAAAGCAUGACGGAGCAACGCCGAGUGAGUGAUGAAGGUCUUCGGAUCGUAAAAAUCUGUUAUUAGGGAAGAACAAAUGUGUAAGUAAAUAUGCACGUCUUGACGGUAACUAGUCAGAAAGCCACGGCUAACUACGUG
rnacentral:rRNA from 1 species